GGGGCUAUGGUGUAACCUGGGAGCAUAAGUGGCUCCAAACCACUAGGCCAGGGUUCAAAUCCCUGUGGCCCCA
rnacentral:tRNA from 1 species